rnacentral:rRNA from 1 species
UUGACCUCGGAUCAGGUAGGGAUACCCGCUGAACUUAAGCAUAUCAAUAAGCGGAGGAAAAGAAACCAACAGGGAUUGCCUCAGUAACGGCGAGUGAAGCGGCAACAGCUCAAAUUUGAAAUCUGGCUCUUUCAGGGUCCGAGUUGUAAUUUGUAGAAGAUGCUUUGGGCGUGGCUCCGGUCUAAGUUCCUUGGAACAGGACGUCAUAGAGGGUGAGAAUCCCGUACGUGACUGGGUGCCUUCGCUCGUGUAAAG